rnacentral:misc_RNA from 1 species
GCUGAAGAACGUAGCGAAAUGCGAUACUUGGCGUGAAUUGCAGAAUCCCGUGAACCAUCGAGUCUUUGAACGCAAGUUGCGCCCGAAGCCAUUAGGCCGAGGGCACGCCUGCCUGGGCGUCACACGUCGUUGCCCCCCCCAUCUACUCCUUCGGGAUUGCGGGGGGCGGAUGAUGGCCUCCCGUGCGCCUCGCCGCGCGGUUGGCAUAAAUGCCAAGUCCUCGGCGACGCACGCCACGACAAUCGGUGGUUGCGAAACCUCGGUUGCCCGUCGUGUGCGGUCGUCGCGCAUCGAGGGCUCGAAAAAAUUGCCGAGUUCCGGCUCGGCUUUCAACGCGACCCCAGGUCAGGCGGGGUUACCCGCUGAAUUUAAGCAUAUCAAUAAGCGGAGGA